CGCCUUUCUCCCUUAUCCUUUAUCCUGUGUCCUCUCUCUCUCUCUCCCUUAUCUCCUCCGCGCCGCACUCCCACCUCUACACGAUGGACUGCAUCUCCCACCUCCCUCUCCUCCAUGGCGUCUCCCCUCCCCUUCCCCACUCCUGAGUUCUCCUCCUCCGUGCGCCAUGGCCGCGCCUCGCUGCCCCAUGGACGGGCCGGAUCCGGAUCCGGCCAUCCUCUGCCCCACGCUGCCAGGGCCCGCCGCCGCCAGAUCCGCCCGCCAUCAGCCUCGGGCUGCCGGAUCCGGCCGCCCCUACUGCCGCUGCUCUAGAUGAGGAGCUCGCCUCCAUGGACAAGGAUUUGGUGCGGGUCGCCGGAGUUGGCAUCGCCGGGAGCCGCGAUGGAGUCGCUUGCUGCGGCAGUGGGUUGCGGGCUUGGUGCGGGCCUGGGGGCCCGUUCCUAGAUGAUUUAUUGUUUCAUCUUGAUCUGGUGUAUCUAGAUGAUUUGUUGAUUCACUGAUUUGUGAUCUGUUGAUUAAUCGAUGAUAAAAAUAUGCAGCCCUAUGUUUUUGCUUC